CCUCGCCUGGGGCGCCGGGCUUACUCCGCAGGCCUCCGCCCUCCCCUCGCGGAAGCUGCCUGCGGAGCCUCCUUCCGGUCCAGUCUGCCGACCUGGGCAGAGCCCUCGCUCCGCAUCCUCUCCCUCCGUCUCCCCUCCCCCGUUGCUCUGCCCCUGCUUCCGGAGACCACCCCCAAAUCCCCCGGCUCCACGGGUCUCAGCGCGGCCCUGAUCAAGCGGGCUCAGUGCUUGUCCGUCGGGAGCCGCUGCCGUCCGGGGCCAGCUGACGGUCACCCGCGAGCCCGGCGCUGCUGGGAAUCGAGACUUCGUAAACGUUAUCGAUGAGUUCAGAACUAAAACCACCGCACAUCCCGGACACACCUGCUGUGUGCGCCGGCGGACGGGAGUUUUCUAUGCAUUACAGGCUGGCCUCAACCUUGCUGGGAUUACAGGUGUGCGCCACCAAGUCUAAGAUUUAUCUUCUUAGAGGCGAAGAAACAGAGGUCUCAAAGGGUCUUGUUCUGUAGCCCAGGCUGAGCUUGAAAU